GGUGAACGCUGGCGGCGUGCUUAAGACAUGCAAGUCGAACGCAGUCUUCGGACUGAGUGGCGCACGGGUGAGUAACACGUAACUGAACUACCCCCAAGUCGCGGAUAACUGGCCGAAAGGUCAGCGAAUACGUGACGUGGUGGCCCUUUCUGGGGGGCCAUUAAAGGUUUACUGCUUGGGGAUGGGGUUGCGUUCCAUCAGCGAGUUGGCGGGGGAAAGGCCCACCAAGGCAACGACGGAUAGCCGGCCUGAGAGGGUGGCCGGCCACAGGGGCACUGAGACACGGGUCCCACUCCUACGGGAGGCAGCAGUUAGGAAUCUUCCACAAUGGGCGAAGUCCUGAUGGAGCGACGCCGCGUGAGGGAUGAAGGUUCUCGGAUCGUAAACCUCUGAGUCAGGGACGAAAGACGCGUAAGCGGGAUGACGGUACCUGAGUAAUAGCACCGGCUAACUCCGUGCCAGCAGCCGCCGUAA
rnacentral:rRNA from 1 species